rnacentral:rRNA from 1 species
GCCAGCGGUGAUAGCACGUCAAAUGGACAAGUUCCCAAAAGAUUACUGAAGUUAAGAUACGUUGUGCGUGGUUUGGUUCUGGAUGGGUGACCCCCUGGGUGAUCGUGUGCUGCUGGCU